AAGAUGAAAGAACAGUAAAAGAGGGAGCCUAUGUGUGUGCAGCUGCAGGACUCCUCCUGAAGACCAUUUCCCUUGAUGGAUAUUUUGCAGAAGUUUGGAGACCCAGGACAAGUCCCCUAGUCCAGCACUGUGCUCCCCCACUGCUGGAGGUCCUCACUUCUACCCCAGGCCCUGUCUCUACUUCCUGGAUGUUCACACAGAAAGAAGACAGAACAGUCACCAUCCUCUGCCAGAACUGGGUGUGUGCCUCACACCAAGACAGAAAACAAAUGAUUGGGAUGGGCAUAUCAUCAUCCUGUCAGGUCUCUGGCGGCAUCCUAAAGACUUGAAAAGGACAGGAAACACCCAAAUACCUCAUCUCACCCCAAUAGAUGUGCUGGGAAGAAGCCCUACCGGUGGGAGGGUCCAGUCCUCGAAGUGUUGGGGAUGAGACCUGUUCUCCCCUUGUCUGGGAGGCCAGGGUGUGGCUGGAGACCUGGAUGCCAGAGCUCCAUAUCUUAGGGUAAGUUGGGGUGGAACAUGGAGACUCCAACCCAACCCUAGAAUAGGAGCUAAAGAGGAGGGAAGGAGAGGGUGGUGGGCUGCCCACCUGCCACCCCUACCCUCUCCCUUGGGCAUUGCCAGCUGGAGGGUUAAGCUUCCUUCCUCCUAACACACAACUUGAGUGAGGAGUGUCACUUGACCUCAGGGCACAUUCCAGAAUGAGGUCACGGCCAAGAAUAGGACCGGGGAACCCUGCCCUCCAUCCUGCCUGUAUUAAUCACCCACUCCCAGCCAGAGGGAGACUUCAGACUCCUUGGAGAGGGGGAGGGGACAGUAUCAGGAAGCAGAGCUGGGAAAAAAGAGGGAAGACCCCAGAGGAGCCCCCUCAUACCCUUGCAGUUGUCCGGUGCACCACAUGGCCCUUGCUCCCAGGGCCAUUUGUUCAUCCAAUGAAUCCUUCUGGAACUCUGCGAGCUGGGCCCCCAGGCCUCCCAGAGCCCUAAGCAGUGACCCUGGCCAAGGAACAGUGCAAGUGUACAGGGGGACAGACACUUGGAGAAGAUUGUUUGUGCAGCCUGGGGACGAUGGAGGCACCCGAGGAGCUGAGUCCUAAAGGAUCCUGGGGCUUCUGUUGACUUUGUGUCUGAGGAAGCCAGUGGCAACUGAGAGCACACUAUCUGAUAAAGGGAUCUUUUGCCAGCUGGGAGCACCAGCCAUUAAUCUGCUUCUGGAAGAGCCC